rnacentral:rRNA from 1 species
AGGAUGAACGCUGGCGGCGUGCUUAACACAUGCAAGUCGAACGGUGAAGCAGGAGCUUGCUCCUGUGGAUCAGUGGCGAACGGGUGAGUGACACGUGAGAAAUCUGCCCUGGACUCUGGGAUAAGCGUUGGAAACGACGUCUAAUACCGGAUACGAGCUUCAGCCGCAUGGCUAGGAGCUGGAAAGAACUUCGGUCCAGGAUGAUCUCGCGGCCUAUCAGCUAGUUGGUGAGGUAACGGCCCACCAAGGCGACGACGGGUAGCCGGCCUGAGAGGGUGACCGGCCACACUGGGACUGAGACACGGCCCAGGCUCCUACGGGAGGCAGCAGUGGGAAUAUUGCACAAUGGGCGCAAGCCUGAUGCAGCAACGCCGCGUGAGGACGACGGCCUUCGGUUGUAAACCUCGUUUAGUAGGAAGAAGCGAAAGUGACGGUACUGCAGAAAAGCACCGGCUAACUACGUGUCAGCAGCCGCGGUAAUCUA